rnacentral:rRNA from 1 species
CCCUUAGAUGUUCUGGGCCGCACGCGCGCUACACUGAUGCAUUCAACGAGUGUACCUUGGCCGAGAGGCCUGGGCAAUCUUUUGAACGUGCAUCGUGAUAGGGAUAGAUUAUUGCAAUUAUUAAUCUUGAACGAGGAAUUCCUAGUAAACGCAGAUCAUCAAUCUGCAUUGAUUACGUCCCUGCCCUUUGUACACACCGCCCGUCGCUCCUACCGAUUGAAUGUGUUGGUGAGGAGCUCGGAUUGGCAGCAGUUGGUGGUUCGCCACCGGCUAUUGCUGAGAAGUCCUCCAAACCGCCCCAUUUAGAGGAAGGAGAAGUCGUAACA